CGAAUGCGCAAGUUGUGGCUGACCUACAGCUCCCAGACGACAGCCAUCCUGGGCGCACUGCUGGGCAGCUGCUGCCCCCAGCUCCAGGUCCUGGAGGUGAGCACCGGCAUCAACCGUAAUAGCAUUCCCCUUCAGCUGCCUGUCGAGGCUCUGCAGAAAGGCUGCCCUCAGCUCCAGGUACCUGGCGCCCUGCCUCUCCCACCUGUCACACCCUCCCCCAUCUACAGCCUGGACCUUGCCCCCAGGUGCUGCGGCUGUUGAACCUGAUGUGGCUGCCCAAGCCUCCGGGACGAGGGGUGGCUCCCGGACCAGGCUUCCCUAGCCUAGAGGAGCUCUGCCUGGCGAGCUCAACCUGCAACUUUGUGAGCAACGAGGUCCUGGGCCGCCUACUCCACGGCUCUCCCAACCUGCGCUUACUGGAUCUUCGUGGCUGUGCGCGCAUCACGCCGGCUGGCCUUCAGGAUCUGCCAUGUCGGGAGCUGGAGCAGCUUCAUCUGGGCCUGUAUGGCACGUCAGACCGGCUGACUCUAGCCAAGGAGGGCAGCCCCUUUUUGACCCAGAAGUGGUGCCAUACACUGCGAGAACUGGACUUGAGUGGCCAGGG
rnacentral:lncRNA from 1 species